GCCAGCGUGGUGUAGUGGUUUGAGCAACGGACUCUGACUCUGGAGGCUAGGGUUCGAAUCCCGGCUGGAC